AACCUCCGCAAUGUGAGAAAUCGCGACGGGGGGAUCCCAAGUGCCAUUCUUAACGGGAUGGCUUUUCAUUAGUGUAAAGAGCUUUUGGAAUAAGAGCUGGGCAAGACCGGUGCCAGCCGCCGCGGUAACACCGGCAGCUCUAGUGGUAACAAUUUUUAUUGGGCCUAAAGCGUCCGUAGCCGGUUUAAUAAGUCUCUGGUGAAAUCCUGUAGCUUAACUGUGGGAAUUGCUGGAGAUACUAUUAGACUUGAGACCGGGAGAGGUUAGAGGUACUCCCAGGGUAGAGGUGAAAUUCUGUAAUCCUGGGAGGACCGCCUGUUGCGAAGGCGUCUAACUGGAACGGUUCUGACGGUGAGGGACGAAAGUUAGGGGCGCGAACCGGAUUAGAUACCCGGGUAGUCCUAACUGUAAACGAUGCGGACUUGGUGUUGGGGUGGCUUUGAGCUGCUCCAGUGCCGAAGGGAAGCUGUUAAGUCCGCCGCCUGGGAAGUACGGUCGCAAGACUGAAACUUAAAAGGAUU
rnacentral:rRNA from 1 species